GACGAACGCUGGCGGCGUGCUUAACACAUGCAAGUCGAACGGUGAAGCUCCAGCUUGCUGGAGUGGAUCAGUGGCGAACGGGUGAGUAACACGUGAGCAACCUGCCCCUGACUCUGGAAUAAGCGCUGGAAACGGCGUCUAAUACUGGAUACGAGAAGGGUCCGCAUGGGCACUUUCUGGAAAGUUUUUCGGUUGGGGAUGGGCUCGCGGCCUAUCAGCUUGUUGGUGAGGUAAUGGCUCACCAAGGCGACUACGGGUAGCCGGCCUGAGAGGGCGACCGGCCACACUGGGACUGAGACACGGCCCAGACUCCUACGGGAGGCAGCAGUGGGGAAUAUUGCACAAUGGGCGAAAGCCUGAUGCAGCGACGCCGCGUGAGGGAUGACGGCCUUCGGGUUGUAAACCUCUUUCAGCAGGGAAGAAGCGAAAGUGACGGUACCUGCAGAAGAAGCACCGGCUAACUACGUG
rnacentral:rRNA from 1 species